rnacentral:rRNA from 1 species
UACAGAGGGUGCGAGCGUUAAUCGGAAUUACUGGGCGUAAAGCGUGCGUAGGCGGUUUCGUAAGUCGGGUGUGAAAUCCCCGGGCUCAACCUGGGAAUUGCAUUCGAAACUGCGAGGCUAGGGUACGGAAGAGGGAAGCGGAAUUUCUGGUGUAGCGGUGAAAUGCGUAGAUAUCAGAAGGAACAUCAGUGGCGAAAGCGGCUUCCUGGUCCAGUACCGACGUUCAGGCACGAAAGCGUGGGGAGCAAACAGG